UCGCCUCAACCAUGCUGCUCGGUCAUACAAGGUUUGGUUGAUCUUGAGGCUGCGGUUUGUCUGUGCACUGCUCUUAGGGCUAACGUUCUCGGCAUCAACCUUAAUGUUCCUAUAUCUCUCAGUGUUCUUCUCAACGUUUGUGACAAGAACCUUCCAUCUGGUUUCGAGUGCGCUUGAACGAUAUCUGCUAUGUAUAAAAUGCGCACGCAAAAUUUCCUUUCCAAAAUCUUAUACUUUGAAUAAAUGCAUGUAUGCAUGCAACGUUAAAUGGUUGUUGUUUAAAUUUAUUGUUUAAGUAAGAGUUAUUUACACUUCUUCGUAAACGCUUUUCCAAGCAUGUAUGUUUUUGUUGUAACGUUUGCUUGUAGAAAGUUGGGUGAAAGAAUUUCCAGUCAUUUCAAAGAGUAUUCAUUUCUAUUAGUGGAUUGGAAUAUUUCAGGUGCUUUUAGGCCAAGUUCUCGGCAUCAACCUUAACGUUCCUAUAUUGUGUUGUUUCAUGGGAUUGUGCUCUGACCACUGCGUUUUUUCGAGCGUCCUCUUGGCAGAUGCAGUUUUUCAUAUAUAUUCAAACUAUUUCAAUAAUUCAAAUCCAUAACCUCGUUAUUAGUAUUUCCUACUUCUCAAUCGAUUUAGCCAAACUCAAAGAGUCAGUAUAGAUUUAAACUUUCCGAAACAUACCAAGGUUUUGAUCAUCAGAAUUAAAACUUGAUGGGAAAUAUUUUUUUUUGAAUAACUAAGAGAUUUUGGGUCUAGGCCCAUGCAUCUCCUCACACCCGAUACCAAAUCAUAUAUGGUUCCAUCCCAAAAGCCAUUUGAAUUAGGAUCUCUAAGUUUUGCCUGAAAUUUUUAUAGGAAAUAUUAACAGAGUUUGGAGAAGUUACUUUCAUAAACCUGGUUACCAACAAGAGAACAAUAUUUCAAUUUCAAGAAGUUUAUAUUUAGAUAUUCAAAUUGUUGGAUUUCAAAUAAUUUGAUUUCAAUAUUUUAGUUAAUGGUUUAAAAUUGAAUAAAAAAUUAUAUAUGUUGUAUUUCCAUAAUUACGUAUUAUUUGAGGUUAAAUUUAGAAAUUAUUUAUAUAACAAAUUUACAAAUUGUAUUGUUAAUACAAAAAAAUAUGGAAGAUAAAAAAAUAUUUUUUAUUAAUUACAAAAAAAUAUCCACAUAAAAUUUUAAACACCAAUUUUACUGGUCCAUAUUAGCGUUUAAAUUAAGAAAUUUUACAAAUUUAUAACUUGUAUUGUUAAAAGUGUAAAAUAACUGCUUAGCAUUAGUAGAUUUUUUUUUUUUUUUGGGUAUGAAAGCUUUAAACUUUAGUAGAUUUACAAGCGUAUUGGGAAAUGAUUCAUACGGGAUGUACUCCUAGUUUCUACUGCAAUAGAACAGUGAUAUAGUUGUAAUAUAAAGGAUUCGGAAUCCAGAGGACCAGUGUUACUCUAUGACUUUGCGAGGAUUGAAUUAAAGCUAAGACGAAUGAUGGUUUGUUGCGAAAACUAAAAAGUAAACAGAAUGGCAAGCAACGAUUUAAAUUCAAAUUAAAAGAAGCACUAGACCAAAGCAAUUCGCAGGAACUUCAGAGAUAAGAACCAGAUGACUAUUCAGGGCACAAGUGUAACGCAAGUCUCGAACUCAAACAGAGAAGCUUAUCGAUCCACUGUCGUGAUCUCGAUAACUUUGUCUAACAACCUAAAUCCUAAACUGUCGUUUGAACCUAGAAAAUUGCAGACAAGCAUUAGCUAGCAGGUUUGAUCUGUUCACGAUUUGCCUUAACUUCAACUGUCGUUGGCUAAGGACAAAUCGCUCACCAAUGUUUAUUCUAGCAACCUAUUACACUUUUGAUGAAUAUAUUAACCUAAAAUCGUAGAUUGAGUGAUCAGUUCAACCUAAGCAUUAAGUCUAACAAUGGUGAAGACAAUAGAUAUCAAGCCCUAUUUGCAUCUAAUUUUUUAACUCAUGAAAUCUUUUGAACGCUUUAAUCUAGCUAAGAGAUCUACUCAGACAUGGAGAAAAGAAACACAGAAACAGAUGGAAAGGAAUUCAUGAAUUAAAAUCGCAGAAGAGAUAAUAGGGUUCAGAAUUCUUCUCAAAGUGUAGCAGAUUUCUUCUCCCAAAAGCUUACAAGUAAAAAAACUCUAUGGUUCAGGAAAUUGUAAAAAGAAAGCAUAGAAAGUCUGUAGAAAAACGUCCUAAUAAAACACAGACGGCUGUGGACUUUUUAUUCUCUUUCUCCUCCUAAAAUUAGGUAAAAGUCGAUUCCUUAUUUUUCUCCCAUCUGGNNNNNNNNNNNNNNNNNNNNNNNNNNNNNNNNNNNNNNNNNNNNNNNNNNNNNNNNNNNNNNNNNNNNNNNNNNNNNNNNNNNNNNNNNNNNNNNNNNNNNNNNNNNNNNNNNNNNNNNNNNNNACCGUGAGCAUGUGCUCCGCGGAUGAUUUCUCCAAAAGCGAAUGAAUAGCUCCUUAUUGUUCAAAUUCAUCUCUUUUUGCUCCAAUGCCUCCUAAACACUCCAAUCCUCUGAUAAGGCCUCUAAGUCACCUGAAACUUCCUGAAAAAAACUCCAAAAACUCCUAAAAAAAUUAGUAAACACAGGUUAGAAUGAGUCAAAGUCUCCACUCAUCAACUCCCCCGAACUUGGAUCCUUGUUUGUCCUCAAACAAACUCAAAUUCAACUCCAAAAGAAUGACUGGAUAGAGCUGGGAACUCGCAAAACUCAAACGACCGUAAACCUGACCAAGGCAUGUGUCAAUCUGCUGCAAAAUCAAUCAAAAAUCUAACCUCCAUGUACUUCUCCGUAGACGCUGCAGCUUUCCAGAUUAGUCCCUCAAUUUCAUAACAUCAUCCAUGUCCCAUCAUUGCUGAGUCUCAUCGAUAAAACCAGUGCUAAGGACCUUCUAGACUCGUUCCCAUACUUAUACCUUAACAAAUUGACCAUACUACACAAAAGUACCUUUCCUCUCCCCCGAACUUAUUCACUUUUCAAGCUGUUUCGUUUUUUUUUUUCCGGCACAUAUAAAAAGGUUCAAAGACGCGAGUAUUGAUGGUGAUUGCCACCGAAUCCCCGGUUUGUCCCCUCAUUAUAUAUCAAAAGUGUAGGCGAAUAAUGGGGUCACAGGAAAUUUUCCUACCCCUCGCUUCCAUCCCUUGUGUGAUCAUUCCACUUUAGAAGUAAAAUAAUGGGAUCAUUGGAAAUUUUCCUAGCCCUUUACUUCUAAAAGAAAAUCAUUUCAAUCUUUUCUGCCUUUUUUUUUUUUUUGAAACAGUCUGAAACAAUGCUUAGAACAUGAGAGAGGAAUACCAAAUCUAUCACACAGGUCUUUAUUUGUCAGGUAAGAAUGAGGAGUCAAGUCCUAUGAGCACUAACCUGAUCGAUGAGGAAAAUGAAGAGCUGAGAAUUAGCUCAGGUUCAAUGGAUUAGUCAAGAAUUUUGGGCUCCUCUAGUCUACUGCUUGUCUUUGGAUUUUCCAUUAGUCGAUCUAGAUGAUUCUGCAGCAAUAAUCACUAGAAGAAGAUGGUCAAGAUUCACAAAUGGUCUGAAAUCAUCAUAGAAUUGGUCCUAAAUUCCACAAGCUUUGACUUUGACUCAUAUAACCAACUGACUCAAAGAAACUAAAUGACUCAAACAAACAAACUAAAAACUGACUCAAAGAAAGUACUAAAAGGAAGAAAGCAAAAGAAAUAAGUACAAGGGACACGACCCUCCCCCGGACUUACUUCACACCGUCCCCGGUGUAAAAAUAAGCUAGAGAAGUGUCCAAAAAACUUACCUGGUUCGCACAUGUAGAGCACCCUGGCGGAGCAGGUGCUCCGGAACAGAGCUGGGUGCUCCCUCGUCUUUUGUUCGUCUGGAGCAGGUGCCGGAGCAGGUGCUCCGGUUUCCCUUGGGUUGCUCCUUCGUCACUUUUUACGUGGUGAGCACCCUGUGGAGCAGGUGCUCCGACUGGGGAAGGGGUGCUCUUUCGUCAGUUUUUACGCUUUGAGCAACCAACCCAGCAGAUGGAGCAGGUGCUCCGGUUGGGUGCUCUUCCUUCAUCUUCCUCACAUCUUCUCUUCCACGUUGAACAACUUCUUACCUGUUUUUUUUUUUUUUGAAAACAAAGAACCUAAAAACAAAGUUAGUAGCUAAGAAUUGAAAGACACAAAGUUAGAGACUCUUACCGGUGGGUUGCCUCCCACCAAGCGCUUGUUUUAAGUCAUUAGCUUGACUUGGAAAGCCAUUUAGGCUUGAGGAGGAUCGCUUAAAGUGACUGAUUCACCCUCUGCGAUAUUUGGACCAGCAAGAUAUGGUUUCUACCUCUGUCCAUUGACAACAAACUCGCCUCCUUUAGUGUCCAGCAACACUACAGCUCCAUAUGGUCGAACCUCCUUGAUGGUGAAUGGUCCAGACCAUCUCGAUCUCAGCUUCCCUGGAAACAAUUUCAAUCUAGAGUUAAAGAGCAAUACCUGAUCGUUUGGUGCAAAGCUUCUGUUGAGGAUCCUCUUGUCAUGAAAAGCUUUUGUCCUCUCUUUGUAAAUCUUCGAGUUUUCAUAGGCCAGAUGCCUAAUUUCCUCCAGCUCAUGUAACUGCAUUACUCUCCUCUCCUGAACACUCUUUGCAUCGAAAUUCAGCAGCUUCACUGCCCAAGCAGCUUUGUACUCAAGUUCCACUGGAAGAUGACAUGCUUUUCCAUACACCAAGUGGAAUGGUGUAGUCCCCAAAGGUGUUUUGUAAGCUGUUUUGCGCAAAGAGCAUCAUCAAGCUUCACUGCCCAAUCCUUCCUUGUGGUGCUCACAGUCUUCUGCAGAAUGUUCUUGAUUUCCCUGUUGGAAACCUCAACUUGCACACUCGUCUGAGGAUGGUAUGGGGUCGCCACCUUAUGCCUUACACCAUUCUUCUUCAACAAGUUUUCAAAGACUUUGUUGAUGAAGUGAGAGCCUCCAUCGCUAAUCACCACUCGCGGCACACCAAACCUGGGAAAAAUGACAGAUUUGAACAUCUUUAAAACCACCUUUGCGUCAUUUGUGGGACUAGCCAGAGCUUCCACCCACUUUGACACAUAGUCAACUGCCACCAGAAUAUACUCAUUCCCAUAAGAUGAUGGAAAAGGUCCCAUGAAGUCUAUACCCCACACAUCGAAAAUCUCCACUUCCAAGAUGAAAUUCUGAGGCAUCUCAUUCCUCCUGCUAAUGUUUCCUUGUCUCUGACAUGUGUCACAUCUGGAGAUAAAACUCGCUGCAUCUCGGAACAUCGUUGGCCACCAAUACCCAGCUUGGAGAAUUUUCGACACAGUCUUGAAAGUGGCGAGGUGGCCUGCAUAAGAGGAUCCAUGGCAAUGAAACAACACUCCUGGUAUCUCCUCAUCAGCUACACAUCUUCUGAAGAUUCCAUCAGAGCAAUGCCUGUAUAAAUAAGGCUCAUCCCAAAAGUAGUGCCUCACAUCCUUCAGAAACUUCUUCUUUUUGUUUCCCACAAAACCUGCAGGUUUCUGCUCUGCAGCAAGGUAAUUUGCAAUCUCUCCAAACCAUGGGAAACCAAAAUGCCGAUCUAUGUCAACUUGGUUGCAAAAACUCGUCAGAGCAGGUGCUCUGGUGGGGAUCAGGUGCUCGUCGAACCCAGAACAUCUAUGGCGUAAACUUGUUCAUCAGGAAGGCUGUUUAGUGGAAUGUCAUCAUCUAUCUUCAGCCUCGACAAGUGGUCUGCAACACCAUUAUCAAUCCCUUUUUUGUCUUUAAUCUCCAAAUCAAACUCCUGCAGCAAAAGGAUCCAUCGAAGGAGCCUUGGCUUGGCAUCCUUCUUCGUCAACAGGUAUUUCAGAGCUGCAUGGUCUGUGUGAACAACAACUUUCGGCCCAACAAGGUAGGACCUGAACUUCUCAAAAGCAUAAACCACUGCAAGAAGCUCCUUUUCGGUUGCGGCAUAUCUGCACUGAGCUUCGUCGAGUGUUCGGCUGGCAUAAUAGAUGACAUGGAGCCUCUUUUCUUUCCUCUGUCUCAGCACUGCGCCCACUGCAUAAUCACUAGCAUCAGUCAUCACCUCAAAAGGAAGUUCCCAAUCUGGUGGCUGGACAAUAGGAGCGCUGACUAGAGCUCCUUUGAUAGCAUGAAAUGCCUCCAAACAUGCAUCAUCAAACUCGAAUUUCACAUCCUUGCACAGCAGCUGCGUCAGGGGUCUGGCAAUCUUCGAGAAAUCUUUGAUGAAGCGUCUGUAAAAACCUGCAUGGCCCAGAAAACUGUGAACCCCCUUGACUGAUGUUGGUGGCUGCAGACUCAUCAUCACCUCGAUCUUUGCCUUGUCCACCUCGAUCCCUUUCUCUGAGAUUUUGUGUCCCAGCACGAUCCCAUCUCUCACCAUGAAAUGGCAUUUCUCUAGUUAAGCACCAGAUGCUUCUCCUCACACCGCUGCAAGACCAUGCACAGAUUAGACAAACAGACAGAAAAGGAGCUUCCAUAGACAGAAAAAUCGUCCAUGAAAACUUCCAUUAUGUCUUCAAUCAGGUCAGUGAAAAUCGACAUCAUGCAGCGUUGGAAUGUUGCUGGAGCAUUACACAAGCCAAAUGGCAUUCUGCGAUAUGCAAAGGUGCCAUAAGGACAUGUGAAUGUCGUCUUCUCCUGGUCGUCCGGGUGGAUUGGGAUCUGAAAGAAACCUGAAUAACCAUCUAAGAAACAGUAGUAAGGAUGGUUAGCCAAGCGUUCAAGCAUCUGAUCGAUAAAUGGUAAAGGAAAAUGAUCUUUGCGAGUUGCAGCAUUCAAUUUCCUGUAAUCUAUGCACAUUCGAUGCCCAGUAACAGUUCUAGUUGGUAUCAAUUCAUUCCUAUCAUUUUUUAUCACAGUGAUGCCACCUUUCUUAGGAACUACAUGAACCGAACUAACCCAAUUACUAUCUGAAAUCGCAUAGAUCACACCAGCUUCUAGAAGUUUCAUUAUCUCUUUCUUUACAACAUCUUGUAGAUUCGGGUUUAACCUCCUCUGAUGUUCUACAGAAGUCAUUGAUUCAUCUUCUAGAUGUAUUCUAUGCAUGCAAAGAUCAGGAAAAAUCCCUGGAAUGUCAUCUAGUGAAUAUCAUAGAGCUUUCCUAUACUUUCUAAGUUCACAAAGAAGCAAGGCAAUCUCUACAUUGUUCAAUUCAGAGUUCACUAUCACAGGGUAUGUCGAAUUGGGUCCUAGAAACGCGUACCUGAGCCCCACAGGAAGGGGUUUGAGCUCAAGCUUCGGAGCUCUCAAUUCGCUCCAAGGCCCAUCAAUCAAGCCGUCGGGAGCAGGUGCUCCAGGAUUCGGAGCAGGUGCUCCGUCGGCUUUUUCUGCAGAUGAGCUCUCCUUGCUUUCUAAGCUCAUGUACGCCACCAGCCUUUGCAUCCUCGUGCUUGCAUUCAGCAUCUUUGCAAACCCAUCAGCUUCUUCACUCAAAUACCCAUGUUCUCCUUCGGCUUUGGUGAGUGCAACUUCCAGAGAAUCGAUGGCCAAAACCUCUUCAGCAACCUCUUCAGCAAUGCUUGAACCAUCAUCUAUGAUAAAUGUCUGUCCGUCCAGCAUUGGUUUCUUGAGGAGUUUAUUCAUCUCAAAUCGCACCACCAUAUCUCCCAGCUGGAGAUCUAUCACUCCUCCUUUCACAUCUAUGAUUGCACCAGCUGUGCAUAAGAAGGAUCGACCCAAUAUCAAAGGAUCCUUGGGUUCUUCAUCAACCUCCAGAACCACAAAAUCUGCUGGAAUAAGUGUAUCACCUAUCUGAACAUGCAGAUCCUCAAGUAUACCAACAGGGAAUUUGGUUGAUCUAUCAGCGAAUACCAGCGAGAUUUUCGUCGGUUUGAAUCUGGUGUAACCCAAUCGCUUGGCUAUAGAGUAAGGCAUCAGAUUCACACUUGAACCCAGAUCGCAGAGAGACCUUGCAAACAGCACAUUCCCAAUCCUGACUUAGAGAACAAACCUUCCUGAAUCACUUCUCUUCUUCAGCACUUUGUUCUGAAGCACAGCACUGCACUCCUUCGAAACCAUCAUGACACUCUCUUCCUCAACAGCUUUCCCAGACACUAACCCCUUCAUGUAUCUUUUUAGGGCUGGUAUCAUCUGAACAGCAUCAACUAGAGGGAGUUUUACAGUCAAAUCCUUCAGCAUCUCCCUGCACUUUGCCUCCUCUAAGUCCUUGCGAGACUUCUUUGGUGGAACUGGGUAAGGUACCUUAGGCGUGUAAACUCUUGCAGGAAUGUUUGCUGGAGCAGGUGGCUGGAGCAGGUGCUCCCUCGUUGGCUCAGGGUGCUCCAUCGUCACAUCUACGUCUGGAGCAGGUGCUCUCGAUUUUGGAGCAGGUGCUCUGAUGGGGAAAGAGUGUUCCUUCGUCUUUUUUACGUCAUGAGCUGGUUCCUCUUCUUGGAGCACGUGCUCCACGUCCUUUUCCUUCCUCACAGAGCUUGUUGGUGCAGCAUGUAGAGUCUUCCCACUUCUCAGCUCAAUAGCAUUCACAAACUCAUUCCUGGGGUUUUCAGGUGGCUGGAGCAGGUGCUCCCUCGUUGGCUCAGGGUGCUCCAUCGUCACAUCUACGUCUGGAGCAGGUGCUCUCGAUUUUGGAGCAGGUGCUCUGAUGGGGAAAGAGUGUUCCUUCGUCUUUUUUACGUCAUGAGCUGGUUCCUCUUCUUGGAGCACGUGCUCCACGUCCUUUUCCUUCCUCACAGAGCUUGUUGGUGCAGCAUGUAGAGUCUUCCCACUUCUCAGCUCAAUAGCAUUCACAAACUCAUUCCUGGGGUUUUCACCUUUUCCAGGGAGAGUUCCAGGUGAUCUCUUCACAGCUUCUGCAGUCUGAGCUACCUGAACAUCCAGCUUCUUCACAUGAGUCCACACUGCUUCAUACUUGCCAUUCAAAUCAUUGUACAUGGUGUCCACUUUGGCAUUAAUCUCCAUGGAAGACUUUUGCUGAUUAACCAGCAGCUGUUGCAUCAAGUUUUUCAGCUCAUCUUGCGAGUUAUUUGAGGAACUCGAAGAAGGCUGCAGACUUGUGAAAGGCAACUUCUGCUGAUUUCCACCUUGAAACCGAUUCUGAUUGGUGAUGAACUGCUUUCCUUGGAAGUUGCUGGAGAAGUUCUUCUGAAAUCCUGACUGAUUCUGCACUCCUUGCUGCAGAUAGACCUGAUCCUGAGGGUUCUCAACAUUGUUGCUUCUGUAGGAUAAAUUCGGGUGGCUUCUGAAGUUGUUGAAGCUGCGAUUCUGCACAUACCCUUGUCCAUUCACGAAAUUUACCUCCAUCUGAUCAUUAUUCUCUGCAUCUACAAACUCUUGAGAAAGAAGUGCAUCACCAACCUCAUCAGCAAAAUGCACAGAUCUCUGGUUCUCUCUCAACAGCAGAUUCACCUUUGCUGUAAGCUCAUCGAUCUUGCUCAACUCCACACUAUGAACUGCUUUGCUAGACCUGUCAUACUCUUGGGAUUUGUUGCUGGAGCUUGCAGCUAAGUUCUCAAUCAACUCAUAAGCAGCUUCUUUGGACUUAGUCAUGAAAUCGCCAUUGCUAGCUGCAUUCAAAGCAUUCCUGUAAUCCCAGUUGACACCAUCAUAAAAGGUUGACAGAAUCUGCUCAUCAGAGAACUGAUGGUGAGGGCACUCUCUUCGGUACUCCUUGUACCUCUCCCAAGCUUCGCAGAAGGCUUCACCAGGUUGCUGUUUAAACGAUGAGAUCUUGUUCUUCAGAGCUGCAGUUUUGGCCUUAGUGUAUAAAUGGUCCAAAAAUGCUGAUCUGCACUCUUCCCAUGUAGUCAAUGACCCAGGUGGUAAUGACUUCAGCCAGCGCAAAGCUUUGUCCGCAAGUGAGAAUGGAAAAAGCUUGCACUUCAAGAAAUCGGCUGGUAUCCCAUUUGAUCCAGUCGCGCUGCAAAUCUCCUCAAAAUUCUCGAUGUGGUCCAUCGGAAUCUCAGCAGGAAGCCCAUGAAAGAGAUGCUGCUUCACCAAUGAGAUCAGCUGAGGUUUGAUCUCAAAGUCUUGCCUCUGAAUGGUUGGAGGAGCAAUCGCAGCCCUGUUGUGAUAGUAAGCAUGCAGACUGUCCUUGUCUCCAAUAGCAGGUUGUGGCUGCUCCCUGUCUUGCUGCGCCUUUUGCAGCUGCUCCAAUUGCUGUCGAAGCUGUUUUAGCUCGACAGCCAUGUUUUCAUUGUUGCCUUGAUCGCCCAUGUUGGCUUGAAUAGGCCUUUGACGUCUGUUUUCUCGCUCGACUCUUGCUAGCUCGGUGUUCGACAAAGAAACAAGAUCGGUGCAGUUGCUCCUUGUGGAUAUGUUUGACAUACACCUGAAACACACGCAAACAAGAGAACAAGAGAGAAAAAUUAGUAAAGCCUUAGUCUGAAUUUCAAACCAAAAAUCAAAGGUAACGAAUUGGUCUCCGUCGCAACGGCGCCAAAAUUUGAUUCACACUGGAUGUACUCCUAGUUUCUACUGCAAUAGAACAGUGAUGUAGUUGUAAUAUAAAGGAUUCGGAAUCCAGAGGACCAGUGUUACUCUAUGACUUUGCGAGGAUUGAAUUAAAGCUAAGACGAAAGAUGGUUUGUUGCGAAAACUAAAAAGUAAACAGAAUGGCAAGCAACGAUUUAAAUUCAAAUUAAAACAAGCACUAGACCAAAGCAAUUCGCAGGAAUUUCAGAGAUAAGAACCAGAUGACUAUUCAGGACACAAGUGUAAUGCAAGUCUCGAACUCAAACAGAAAAGCUUAUCGAUCCACUGUCGUGAUCUCGAUAACUUUGUCUAACAACCUAAAUCCUAAACUGUCGUUUGAACCUAGAAAAUUGCAGACAAGCAUUAGCUAGCAGGUUUGAUCUGUUCACGAUUUGCCUUAACUUCAACUGUCGUUGGCUAAGGACAAAUCGCUCACCAAUGUUUAUUCUAGCAACCUAUUACACUUUUGAUGAAUAUAUUAACCUAAAAUCGUAGAUUGAGUGAUCAGUUCAACCUAAGCAUUAAGUCUAACAAUGGUGAAGACAAUAGAUAUCAAGCCUUAUUUGCAUCUAAUUUUUUAACUCAUGAAAUCUUUUGAACGCUUUAAUCUAGCUAAGAGAUCUACUCAGACAUGGAGAAAAGAAACACAGAAACAGAUGGAAAGGAAUUCAUGAAUUAAAAUCGCAGAAGAGAUAAUAGGGUUCAGAAUUCUUCUCAAAGUGUAGCAGAUUUCUUCUCCCAAAAGCUUACAAGUAAAAAAACUCUAUGGUUCAGGAAAUUGUAAAAAGAAAGCAUAGAAAGUCUGUAGAAAAACGUCCUAAUAAAACACAGGCGGUUGUGGACUUUUUAUUCUCUUUCUCCUCCUAAAAUUAGGUAAAAGUCGAUUUCCUUAUUUUUCUCCCAUCUGGAGCAGGUGCUCCACGAAGGGUCCAAACCGGGAGCAGGUGCUCCGCGGAUGAUUCCUCCAAAAGCGAAUGAAAUAGCUCCUUAUUGUUCAAAUUCAUCUCUUUUUGCUCCAAUGCCUCCUAAACACUCCAAUCCUUUGAUAAGGCCUCUAAGUCACCUGAAACUUCCUGAAAAAACUCCAAAAACUCCUAAAACAAUUAGUAAACACAGGUUAAAAUGAGUCAAAAUCUCCACUCAUCAAGAAACCUUUCAAACAUAUUUCAUGCUUCGAGGUGACUAUGAGCCUAAGGUUUAACAAUGGUUACCAAUGAAACUAAUUUUGUAUCAUUUAGCAUAAUUUAUAAUAUAAUUAUAUAUAUAUAUAUAUAUAACUUGUUACAUACCAAUGUGAUGAGGCUGUUAAUACUUUAAACCGCCCAUAUGUAAUCUUUAUUGUUCUUCGUUUCUCUUCAAGAAGUUACAAUGUUACCCUGUAACUGAAUUCAUAUAUAUAUAUAUAUAUAUAUAUAUAUCCUAUCAUUUCUAAAAAAUAUUAUAUAUAUUUUUUUUUAACUUGUUUAAAUUUGUUUACAAAUUGUGUUAAGUUUUUUGUUUUCAACUCAAACCAAUUAACAACGAGUAGAUUUGUUCAAGUCUUUAUAUAUUAGUGUUAGUCAUUUUAAACUUUAGGAUUCUAACACGCUUCAUCAAAAUGAUGGGUCUUAUCGACUUAUUUCGAACCAAAUUCCAUUUUAGAACCGGUAAUAAAUCUUUCUUGGAUAAAUUUUCUUGGAUCAACAAAGAAGGCUCUUACAUUUCAAUGCAAAACCAAUUGGCAUUUAAUAGAUUGGAUAAAAUCUCUUAUAUAUUAGUGUUAAUCUCUUUAAAUUUCAAAUGUGUGAUUCUAACAAGUUGUAGUUAGAUAUAAAAAUAUAAUUUGUAUUUUGGCAAUUUUCGUUUUCGGGUAAAAAGAUCUGAUGAGAUUAUUCGAUAUCAAUAGCUCAAUCGGUGUAAGUCCGACAAUGAUGAGGGACUUAUUUAACUUGCUCGACUCCUUGACCCCGUAGAGAUUAGAACUCGGUAUAAACUUCUUGGCUAGAAAGAAAAAAAAAAUCAAUGCAAAAACUAUAAUUAGAUAAAUAAGUAAUUUGUACAAUAAAUAAUAAAAGGCAGACGACUUCCAGCAAACUUUUUACUGGAUUAUAUUGUACUACUAAGGUUGACAAAAAAAGACGCAAAGCUUGUCCUAUCAAGGAUGUUAACGUUGCAUACUUGCCUAUCCAGUACGUUUCCUACUAGUGAUUUUUUUCGUUGUUAAAGGUUUCCUAAAAGUUUAACGAGAUUUUAUCUCUACAUAAAAUAAUAAGGUUCAAGUUUCUGAGGAGUACAAUGUAUAAAAGUGUCCUGCUUCCCCGAAUCGGUCAUUAUAGAUUUGAUAUGAUAAAAAUUUCAAUUAGGAACGGUGUAAGGUACGAUUAUUAUUAUUAUUUUUUUUUAUGAUGAUAACGUUGCCUAUGCUUUGAUUGUUUUGUUAUUCAACAAAUUCACCCUUUGUAAUUUCGGUUGGUUUCGGUCGAUUUCCCAACCGAGAUUUUGGACGUUUAAGUUAUUUUUUUAGUAUAUUUUGGUAUGUUUCAUAAAUUUUAAGUUGUAGUCGGUUUAAAACAAACGGUAAAUUGUUAUAUACUGGAAUCAAUAGGAAGAAAAAAAAUUGAAUGAGACAAGUUAACGUCCAAAGAUAUUGUUUUGAGAUAUUUCUACACAGCUUGUAGUUUUUUUUUUUUUUUUUAUGUUGGUCUAUGAUAUCAUUUCCAUUAGGAAAUAUAAGUUUGUACCCAAAAAUGAUUUAUCCGGAUGUAACAUAUACAAUACUCCGCAACGUAUAUUUCCUAAAACGCUUUUAAUGUCCCUUUUAAUCUAUUUGAUAAUAAGGGUAUAUUAUUUGAAACUUUUCACAUAGAACAUUUUUAGUGGCUGGGAUUUUAUCUAAACUUCAAAAGGUUCCGAAAUCUGAAGUAAAAUGACUACGAGCCAAAUACUCAUAAUAAAUGUGCAAUAAUACCGACAACUUGACAGUAAUACUAUCUAAUACUCCAAAUAAUUUAAGGGACCGAUGAAUGAAGAAAUCCAGCAUUUUUUAGUUAUAUAAAAAUUUUAAAAAUCGACUUUCCAAAUGAUUUCAGUUUUCGGUUCUAAAUAUCUACACAAAGGGAAAAAAUAAACGAGAUUGUAUAUGUGGAAUCGUAGAUAAACGCAGAUAAAAGGUCAGAUAUUUUUGUAGAAUGACAGAACUAUAUAUAUAUAUAUAUAGUUAAUUAUACUUAAACAAGGUUUUUCACAUCCUUAUUAAACCCUAUAAAUACUCACACCUUCCCUUCAUUUCUAUUCAUCUCUCUCUCUCAAACACAGUCAAUACUCGUUAUAAACCUGAAUCUGUCCUUUGAAAAAAGAAUGUCUUCAAAGAACUCAGCCUCCCUUGCUCUUUUCUUUGCACUGAACAUCCUAUUUUUCACCUUAACCACUGCAACUGAUUGUGGCUGCAACCCAAGUCCUAAGCCGAAGCCGAGCCCAAGUCCUAUGCCUAAGCCCCCUAAGCAUGUCCCAAGUCCGAACCCUAUGCCUGUCCCACCUCCUAGCACCCCUGGCUCAUCUGAAAACUGUCCUAUAGAUGUCCUCAAGCUCGGUGUAUGUGCAAAUGUCCUAAGCGGCUUACUAAACAUACAGUUGGGUCAGCCAUCAACUCAAGAAUGCUGCUCGCUUGUCCAAGGUUUGGUUGACCUCGAGGCCGCAGUUUGUCUCUGCACUGCUCUUAGGGCUAACGUUCUUGGAAUCAACCUUAACGUUCCUAUAUCUCUCAGCGUUCUUCUCAACAAGUGUAACAAGAAGGUUCCAUCUGGUUUCGAAUGCACUUGAUUCAGUUUCCUCUUCAAAAUAUUUACUGUUUGAAUAAAUGCAUGCAAGCUAGAGAGUUUAAUGUUUAAAUGUUAUUUGUUUGUGAUAUAAUAAAUGUGUGAGAGUUUUGUAGUUUUUUUUUUUUUUUGCUGGUAAACGUUCCCCGUGGUGGUUGUAUGUUUUUGUAGCUAUCUAUUUCUAUUUUCACUCUGUAUAAUGCAUAUAUUAUUUAAUCAAUGUCUUAUUUUCAAGUACUCAUUUGGAUGGCUAUUACACAAUAUUGACAAAAUUCAUAUCAUAGAAUGCUUUUACUCUUUGGAGAGUUGAUUUCUACUGGAAAAAUUUUGAUCACUAUGAUAUUCGGCAACACAAUAUAAAUCUCGUUUAUAAAAACAAUCCUUAUUAGAUUGUGAUUAGUACUCAUCCUAAAAUCGUAUUGAAAAAUUAAACAAAGAUUAGUCCUUUCUCCAGAAUUGUGGUGUAGUUGAACAUUAUAGUUAUAUAUUGAUGUAGCGCCUCUGAUACCAAAUGUUGGAGUGAGAACUUUAAAAAGAUAGAAUAGUAAUCCGUUAAUUCUGAAAAUAUCCAAAAAAUAUGAUAAUUGCAAAAUUAUUUGUUUAGUCUAAGAAUCUCCGAAUAAAUCAAAUCUUUUAAGAUUCGUUGAAAUAUUUUUAGAUCUACCAAAAACAAGGAACAAAAAGACGAAAACUCAAUUCUAUUAAUUAAUCAAAAACUGAAUACAAGGUCUAAACGACUUAUUUAUACUAAAUUCAAAACACUAGAAAACUCUAAAACAAUAAAAGAAAAUUAUCUAAAUAAUUAAAGAUAUAAUUAAGAUAUUUGAGAUAUUUUCAAAUAUCUUUCUGCAACAUAUAUUCAGCUGAGAAUGAACAGUUCGGUAAUCACUUAUCAAUAAAGUCCGAUAAUUAGUUAAGACAUGUACAUUUUAAUCUUGUUUGUCCAAAGAAUUGCGGUUAAGGUUCAAUGAUGUAUAUGUGCUUUCAUUAUCUAUGACCGAGAGAUCUCGGCCGAGAAUAUAUGUGGUCAACUGGUCAUGAGUCUUUGAGGCCUUAACCGAAUUUUUUUUGUAGUUUGUACCAGAGUCAAUUAAGGUUAUGACUGAGAAGCAUUAUUUCUUGGCCGAAUGAAUGAUAACUUGUUUUUAAUUUUUUAUUGUUAAUUAUACGUAUAUAUCUCAUGAUUAGAAUUUUUAAGAAAACGUUAUUGUGUGUUUUUUUUUCAACAAUAUGCAUUAUAAUGAAUUUGAAUUAAUGGGAUGACGCAGUGAUAAAACGAACAGAAACCACUACAUUAUAUGUAAUGGCCAAUGCUUUAUUUUUAUAUUCAUAAAAAUGAAAAGUUCAUGUUCGGGUAGUAUGCCUCGUGUUGAUGUGAUUGAUUGUAAGUUUCAUUAAGCUCAAUGCCAGAAGUAAGUUGACGUAUGUGGGGAAACUAGAAAUUUGGAGCCAGUUUCGCUAAGAUAUUUACGAAUAUAGUCGCGAUUUGAAAAUAAUGAGUCAAAGAGAUCAAAGAUGGUUAACACUUCGUAUGUACUAAUAUAAUCUUGGGGUUUCAAUAGUUGAAUAUGUAAAUCGAAUAACAUAUACAGUAUAUAUAAUGCUUAGAAAGAUUAUGAUAAACAUGUCAAAAAUAGGACCUAAGAAUUUUGUGUUUUAUCUCAAUUUUUCUUAAUUAUUUAGUACUAUCUGCAAUAAACAAAAUAUAAUCAAAUUAAUAAAUAAUUUUAAAAUAUGAGUUCUCUAAUAGCUAAGUUUUAAAUAAAUGAAAACUACAAAACUGUUGACAGAAAAACAAUACAAAGCAACAUUAGUAACAUAGCUAUUAUGUAGGAAGGCCAUAUAUAACUAUAUACACAUUAAACAUAAAAGAACAUGCUAUUUAAAACUAUUUCGAAGACCAUACUUACCACCUUGGUGGAAAGAUAACUAUCUGAUAUAUCUGGAAUGAAAAUGAAAAUGAAGUUUACCCAUACGUGUGAGAUAAUUAAGGUAAAAAACUGGGAAAAAGAAGUAUCAAAUAGCUGCCCAAAAAGAAAAAAAUUAAAAUCUUUCAUACCCACUUGCUAAUUUUUCUUGAUCUUAGUUUCUCGUGACGAAAGUUCAAAAUAACAUUUCUUUUUUUUUUAACGUUUUUAACUAUCUUGUGGUCCUAGUUUCUUUGUAAAACAUAUUUCUUUGAGGGAAAAUAGUUUUAUUGACUUUAUGAAAGAGUAAACCAUUUGGACCCCAGAGCUUAAUUCAUACGAUAUGUCCAAAUAUUUAAACCUAUUGAGAUAUUUACGUAAAGCAUUGUAGAAGAAAACAAAAUUAUGGUCGACAAUGUCUACAUAGAAUGACGAAUUAACAGAAGACGAUCAUUAACCAUCAACGAGAUAUGGACUAGUAAGCUUGAGAUGUCCAAUUACUUGUUUUGGCCGAAGACAAACACGUCAUUUUGAAUUUAUUGUAAAAUAUGUAUCUAAGUUAUCUAAAUAUAUGAGUAUCAAAGAUAUGUAUCUAAAUAAGGAUUGGACUCCGAGUUCGUAAUAUUUUGACUUUAUUGUAAAAUAGAGACACAAGUUGAUAUAACCAGAAUGCGAGACACGAGAUGAUGUGUGGUUUACAAUUUUAUAAACACUUUUAAAAAAAAAUGAAUGUAACAUUAAUUCAAAUCCAAAAAAAUCGUUCUACAAAUGAAUGUGUCCUUUUGUUCGAAGAAAGAGAAAUAUUUUUACAUUAAUAUUGUCAUUAGGAUCUUAGGAUGGCCGAAAACCAAACUAUAUAACUAUUUCCUCAUCGUAUGUGGUAUUACCUGCAUUCUGAAUAGAUCAGAUAAGGUUCUCAGUUCUCACAUUCUUAUUUUUAGAAACAUCUUAUUUUUUAUAUGAAUCACUUAAUAAUUUUUUGAAUUAUAACCAGGUUUACUUUUUUUGUCAACUUUGAUAUUUAAUUUUGAAUUAAACAAAAGAUUUAGUAAACCAAACUGGAGUAGCAAAAUUUACAUAUAAAAAGUAGCAUUAUAAGUCAAACAAUAAACAUUACCAUUUAUAUUGCGUGAUAUAUAGAAGUAUAAAUGCCAAUUUAGAGAAUUACGAUUUAUUAAAUUCUAAGAUCAAUUAUCUGGUCAAUAGUGUUCGUAUGCUAGAACUCUGAAUUAUGAAUUCCGAAUAUGCUUGGCUUGGCUUGGCUUGCCAAUGCCAAUCCGAGUUAUUUAUUUUUUUAAAUUAAAGUUGACAAAAAAUUGAAAAAACGAACCUAUCCAAACCAAAUAAUUGACUUGAUGAUAGUUGGUCUAACCAGACCAGGUUGUUGUUUUUUUUAAACACGGAAAUUAUAUCCUGACCAUAAAUUGUCAUAUCCUGGAACAUUGUCCGGUCCGAUGGACUUCACCAAACAUUUCAAAGCAAAUUUUUGACCAUGUGAAUUUGUAAUGGACUAAUUACAAAAGAUCACAAAAAAUAUUUUUCCAAAUGUUGGAACUACUCUGCACGUCUCUCAGUGACAUUUAUAGUGAGUUUCAAUAAAACCUAAGGAUCCUCUUGAAAAUAUAACAAAACUCAUUACAAAAAAAAAAGAAUAUAUCAUCUUCCAUAUGCCUAUAUCUCCGAAGUGUCUGAUAAACAGAAAACUCAAAUCGAAAGAAGGCUUGUUCAUUGUCGAGAGAUGAUCUCUGGUGCAUGGGAGAAGCGCAGCCCAGGUUCUUCCAAAUGUAUCCCUAAUUUUAAGCUAAUGCACGAACCUGAUUUAAGUGAACAAAAAUCUAUCAUUUAUGUUCAGUUAUGAUUUUCGAAUUGUUCUACGUACGUUUUAGGUUUUUGACCCCAAGAAAAAAAAAGAAAAGAAUUUAUCAUAUAUAGAGGUAUCAACCAAAUUAGACACAUCUGUUUUGAGAAUUAAAAAAAAAACUAUGUAACAAUCUAGUUUGUAGUUUUAUGAAAUCUAAUUUGUAUUUUUUUGUCUUUUUUGUUUUUCAGUAAAAAUAUCUGAGGAGAUUAUUCGAUGCCAGUAACUCAACUGGUAUAACACUUGGUUACCCAAAAAAGAGUUGAGAAGAUCUCAGGUUAGAAAUGAGUGAUUAAUUUAACUUGAUCUACUCUUUCAACCCGGAGAGAUUAUAGAAGUAUAGAACUAAGGUCCAAGCUUCUUGGUUAAAAAGACAAAAAAAUUAAUCCAAAAAAUAUAAUUAGAUAAAUAAGUAAUCUGAAUAAUACAUAAUACAAGGGCAGAGGACUUCCAGCAAAUUUUGUACUAGAUUAUAUUGUCUGUCCUAUUAAGGAUGUUUACAAAAAAAAUACAAAGCGUGUCCUAUUUAGGAUGUUAACGUUGCCUAUCUAGUACGUUUCCUAAAAGUAGUACGUGGUAUCAGCUCUACUUAUGGAAAUACGGCUCAACUUUCUGCGGACGACAACGUAUAAAAGUGUCUGGCUUCUUGGAAUCGGUAGUUUUAGAUUUGAUGUGAUAAAGAUAUGUCAAUUAGGAACGGAUCCCAAUCAUGUUAAAUUUUCUGAUUUAGGGUAUGAUUGGUAACACUGCAGAAUUGCAGAAUUACAAAAAAUAAUCUUGCGGGAUAAAAUAAUCUCGUUCAAACUUGCUUUUUUGCAUAAUGAUUUUUUGUUUUUGUAUUUUUGUAAGUAAAAACACAAGAUUUUUUUUUAUUCUGCAGAUAUUUGUUGAUUGGCAAAAUAUUUGUAUAAUCAUGUUUAAGAACAUAAUUUUACUAUUUCACAGAUUACCAAUCAGAGUCUAAUGUUGAGAGAUCAACUGAUCUGUAAUGUUGGUUGGGCUCAAUCGGUCAAUUUUUAACCUAGAAUUUUGAAGUCUACGUGUUUUUUUGGUAUAUUUUUUUCUAUGUUUCAUGAAUUUUUAGUUGUACUCAGUUUAAUAACACUAAAAUGUUUUAUACAAAAAUCAAUAGGAAGAAAAGAGAAUUGCAUAUAUUUUUCACGACCUUUGUCGGUUACUUUUUGGUAAUUUUUUUUGUUUGGUUAUCUAGUGAAGGUGGUGAUAAUAACAUUAACGACAACUUGACAAUAAUACUGCAUAUAAUAUGAAUUAAGAAAUCAAACAUUCCUUUUAAUUAUAUAUAAAAAAAGACAUUCCAAAUUAUUUCGAGGUUCGGUUCUACGUAUCUACACAAAGAGAACAAAAAAAGGAUUCAGAGUUUGUAUAUGUAGAUAAACACAGAUAAAAGACCGGAUAUUUUGUUAGAAUGAAAAAAUAUAUAAUUAUUUAUACUACAACAAGUUGGUCCUCUUCACAUCCUUGUAAAACCCUAUAAAAUACCAACACCUUCCCUUCAUUUCUAUCCAUCUCUCUCUCGCUCAAACACAGUCAAUAAUCCUUACUAAACUGAAUCUAUCUUUUGAAAUAAGAUGGCUUCAAAGAACUCAGCCUCACUUGCUCUUUUCUUUGCACUCAACAUCCUCUUUUUCACCUUAACCGCUGCAACUGAUUGCUGCAGUCCUAAGCCGAAGCCCAAACCUAGUCCUAAGCCUAAGCCGGUCUCAUGUCCUCCGCCCCCCAAGCAUGUCCCAAGUCCAUCGGUCCCAAGUCCUAACCCUAGGCCUGUCCCACCUCCUAGCACCCCUGGCUCAUCCCAAAACUGUCCUAUAGAUGUCCUCAAGCUCGGUGUAUGUGCAAAUGUCCUAAGCGGCCUACUCAACAUACAGUUGGGUCAGCCAUCAACUCAAGAAUGCUGCUCGCUUGUCCAAGGUUUAGUUGACCUCGAGGCCGCUGUUUGUCUCUGCACUGCCCUUAGGGCUAACGUUCUCGGAAUCAACCUUAACGUUCCUAUAUCUCUCAGCGUUCUUCUCAACAAGUGUAACAAGAAGGUUCCAUCUGGUUUCGAAUGCACUUGAAUCAGCUAUGCACACGACGCCGCACACAG
rnacentral:lncRNA from 1 species